UACGAAGGGGGCUAGCGUUGUUCGGAAUCACUGGGCGUAAAGGGCGCGUAGGCGGCUUUGUAAGUCGGGGGUGAAAGCCUGUGGCUCAACCACAGAAUUGCCUUCGAUACUGCAUGGCUUGAGACCGGAAGAGGUAAGUGGAACUGCGAGUGUAGAGGUGAAAUUCGUAGAUAUUGGGAAGAACACCGGUGGCGAAGGCGGCCAUCUGGACCGCAACUGACGCUGAGGCGCGAAAGCGUGGGGAGCAAACAGG
rnacentral:rRNA from 1 species